rnacentral:rRNA from 1 species
UACGGAGGGUGCAAGCGUUGCUCGGAAUUAUUGGGCGUAAAGGGUAGGUAGGUGGUCUCAUUUGUCUGGGGUGAAAGCCUUGAGCUUAACUCAAGAAGUGCCCCAGAAACGGUGAGACUCGAGUGCUGGAGAGGGUCGUGGAAUUCCCGGUGUAGCGGUGAAAUGCGUAGAGAUCGGGAGGAACACCAGAGGCGAAGGCGGCGACCUGGACAGCUACUGACACUCAACUACGAAAGCGUGGGGAGCAAACAGG